UGGGGAAUAUUGGACAAUGGAGGCAACUCUGAUCCAGCAAUUCUGUGUGUGUGAAGAAGGUUUUAGGACUGUAAAACACUUUUAGUAGGGAAGAAAAAAAUGACGGUACCUACAGAAGAAGCGACGGCUAAAUACGUGCCAGCAGCCGCGGUAAUACGUAUGUCGCGAGCGUUAUCCGGAAUUAUUGGGCUUAAAGGGCAUCUAGGCGGGUAAACAAGUUGAAGGUGAAAACCUGUGGCUCAACCAUAGGCUUGCCUACAAAACUGUAUAACUAGAGUACUGGAAAGGUGGGUGGAACUACACGAGUAGAGGUGAAAUUCGUAGAUAUGUGUAGGAAUGCCGAUGAUGAAGAUAACUCACUGGACAGCAACUGACGCUGAAGUGCGAAAGCGAGGGGAGCAAACAGG
rnacentral:rRNA from 1 species